rnacentral:rRNA from 1 species
AGAGUUUGAUCCUGGCUCAGAUUGAACGCUGGCGGCAUGCUUUACGCAUGCAAGUCGAGCGGCAGCGCGGGACUCGGGCAACUGAGCCCUGGCGGCGAGCGGCGAACGGGUGAGUAAGACAUCGGAACGUAUCCCGUAGUGGGGGAUAACCCGGCGAAAGCCGGGCUAAUACCGCAUAUGCUCUACGGAGGAAAGCGGGGGACUCGCAAGGGCCUCGCGCUAUGGGAGCGGCCGAUGGCCGAUUAGCUAGUUGGUGGGGUAAAGGCCUACCAAGGCGACGAUCGGUAGCUGGUCUGAGAGGAUGAUCAGCCACACUGGGACUGAGACACGGCCCAGACUCCUACGGGAGGCAGCAGUGGGGAAUUUUGGACAAUGGGGGCAACCCUGAUCCAGCCAUGCCGCGUGAGUGAAGAAGGCCUUCGGGUUGUAAAGCUCUUUUGGUCGGGAAGAAAGGGUUUCCUUGAAUAAGGGAGAUCCGUGACGGUACCGGCAGAAUAAGCACCGGCUAACUACGUGCCAGCAGCCGCGGUAAUACGUAGGGUGCGAGCGUUAAUCGGAAUUACUGGGCGUAAAGCGUGCGUAGGCGGUUCUCCAAGUCCGUUGUGAAAGCCCCGGGCUCAACCUGGGAAUGGCAGUGGAAACUAGGGGACUUGAAUCUGGCAGAGGGGGGUGGAAUGCCGC